rnacentral:rRNA from 1 species
GGGAACCUACCCACCAGUGAGGGAUACCGGCGCGAAAGCGCCGACAAGCCCGCAUACGCUUCCCCCGUUGUGGGGAAGGAAAGCUCUUGCGGGGGCGCUGGUGGCUGGGCCUGUGGCCGAUUAGCUGGUUGGUGUGGUAAGAGCGCACCAAGGCGACGAUCGGUAGCUGGUCUGAGAGGACGAGCAGCCACACUGGGAUUGAGAACGGCCCAGACUCCUACGGGGGGCAGCAGUGAGGAAUUUUCCGCAAUGGAGGCAACUCUGACGGAGCAACGCCGCGUGCAGGAGGACGCACUUCGGUGUGUAAACUGCUUUUCUCAGGGACGAGUGAGGACGGUACCUGAGGAAGAAGCCCCGGCUAACUACGUGCCAGCAGCCGCGGUAAGACGUAGGGGGCGAGCGUUGUCCGGAGUUACUGGGCGUAAAGGGCCCGCAGGCGGGCUGGUGCGUUUGCGGUGACAGCGCGUGGCUAAACUGCGCGAGGGUCGCAAAGACGACCAGUCUUGAGGGCCAGAGAGGGACCUGGAAGUCCGGGUGGAGCGGUGAAAUGCGUAGAGAUCCGGAGGAACACCGAAAGCGAAGGCAGGGUCCUGGCUGGCACCUGACGCUCGUGGGCGAAAGCU